UUUUUUUUUUUUUUUUAACUUAAUUUUUGGUGAAUACAGCAUAAUUUACAAUAAUACAUACAUUUAAACUUGUUUAUCAUGUAUUAUAGAAAUAAAAAAUGUAACAUGUAAAAAUUUUAAUUUAAGUGUGUUCCAUAACUCCAUAACCUGCCCAUAAACAAACAGUACUGAGAUUAGAGAACAUUUUAACAUCAAAUUCAAUUCAAUUCAGUAUUAUAAUGAAUAAAAUCAGUUUGUUAUGGAAGGUAAAAGGUGUUUCCAUCAUGUGAAACGAACAACCGUUGUUGACACAGCUAACUGACAUCUUGUCCUUGUAUGUUGUCCUUGUCCUUGUGUUGUGUAAAAAAUAUAAUUUACAGCAGUCUUAAAAAAGACUUUAUAAAUGAAAUAAAAUGUAUACAAACCUUUAUUUCACUGAAGAAGUGCACCAAAUCAGUGGCGCUAAGAACCAUUCUCUUCUGUAGAGGACGCAAACAGCCACGCUCUGACUGUAACUCAGCAGCUGAGCUGUUCGUCAGAGACAGGCUUAACUCAGCAGUUGGGUAGAAAAAAUAACCCAGCAUUAAAAACGACACAGCAGCUUAGUUACAGAAAAACUACCCAGCAUCUGGGUAAAAAAUAUUAAAAAUAACCCAAUAAAAUGACCAAACAAGCUUAACCCCAGCAUUUGAGAUUACAAAAAUAACCCAGCAUUUUUCUUAUAUGGGUUUAUAUUAGCAUAUACAUCAUGUAUCUAAAUCAGUAUUCUUUUGACAUUUUAAAAUUAAUAAAUGUAGACAUUGUGAAUUAAAGUCUCUUAUGUUGUAACAAAUUGAUUCUCUACAUAUAUACAACAACACUAUUUUAAUCAUUCUUGUAUGAGCAGUGGUGUGGCAUUUUUUUUUAAUGUAGCCUAUUUAUAUGUUUUUCCAGCUUCUGUUGAGAUCUCUGACUGCUCUAGUGAAAGAAGCACCAGCAGCCUACUAUCCUCUGUCAGUGGCUUCAGCAUGUCAAGUUAAACAUCUCAAAGGCCUAAAACAGUAUUAAUUUAGGAUGCCUCACGACAAUGUGACUGUGAGAGAACUGAUCCCGACAAAUAAUGCUCAGCCUUCUACAAGACGUGACAAAAUCAAUCAAAUUUCACAGCCAAUCAGAAGAGCAUGUGGGCGGAGCUUUAUCUGCAAGAGCACUGCACUCGAUAAAUAUAAAUGUAUCUCUAACUCUCUCUCUCUCUCCACACACACACACACACACGCGCGAAAAUAAAACAUUCAGUUAUCAUCAACAUUGUUACACUUUUUAAUUACUAUAAGCAGCAGGGCCAUAACCUCCAUAGACACUGAGAAGUGCAGGUCCUUCCCAAUAAUUAGAAAUGGCCCCCUAAAAUGAAAUUGAUACUAUUUGAUACUGAUGCUACUCUGCUGGUUGCUGGGAUGACACAAAGAUAUAAAUGUUAAAUGUUUAGGCUGGUCUGCCUACUCUUCAGUUUUUAACGGUGAAAGGGUGUAAGGUAACAUACAAGCUAUAUAUUUAUUAUAUAUCAAUUGUUUUACAAUAGAAUGGUCAUUUUAAAUGACCAUUACUAACAUCCUGUGAUGCAAACUAUUCUGUCAAAUUUCACCAUUUUGAAUUGUAGGAUGAAUCAUUUACUUGAUUCAUGUAACUGAAUGUGACAAGACAAGAAACUUUGCGGUUUCACCAUAUUCACUCUUAUAUUUUAAAAUACAAAUAUUUGCGAAUAGUUCAAAUUGAUUACAAAAAAAAAUCUUAGUCUUUAUUGUCUUAAUUCAUUUUAAUCUUUUAUUUAUUUAUUUAUUUCUUUAAACAAUAAGGCCAUUACAACACCCACCAACAAAAUCAGUCCAACCCACAUUACAGCCUUGCAGGAUUACACACUGUGGUUAAAUGUUAAAAUGCAGAAAUAGUUGUAUGCAACAUUAGCUGGCUGAAAAAAGACUGCACACAUGCAUACUUUCAAGUGAACUGUAAACAAUAUACUAUGCAGGCUCCUUUGGCAUUACAUUUUCACUGUAUUUGGAUUUGUGACACUAUUUUUAAUAUUGAAUAUACUAAAUAGGAUGGAUGGCAUGUGAAUUUGGAAGGCAUUCCGUCUUUCAGCUUAGUCACUUUCUCUUUGUCUCUCUGCAGAAUGACAGUAAAAGAACACUUUCAGACCAAGAGCAACACAAACAAUACAACCAACCUCAUUCAGACAUAUUUCUUUUGUCCUGUCCUCCUUACCCUUUCUCUUGCUUUAUUUUGGGGAUUUAAAUGAGCAGUUGUGUGCAUUUAAUCUGUUUGAAUGUGUUAAUAGCUCUAAACAGUUUUUAACACAUUAACAUGGUCAGUUGAUGCAUUGCAUUGAUUUAGUUGCAUUUGAUUAAAAAACUCAUGCCAGUCAAAGCAAUCUUUAUAUAUUUUCAGUUUGCAGCAUCAUGCUUUUGUAAUCUACACCCAAGCCACACAAAAGGUACAAAGCUGUCACUCGGGUGGUAUCCUAAAGUACAAAAGUUACAUAUUUGUAACUUAUUUAGUCUUAAAUGGUGCAUAUUAUACCACAUUAAAGGUGCAUAUUAAUACUUUGAAAGAUUAUUACUUUUUGAAGAGGUAGCACCCCAAUGCUUUGUACCUUUUUUUCUGAGAGUGCAUGAAUGACAGCAGAUGUUCAAAAAAAAAUCAAGCAUUUCCAUACACUUUUGUUUUUCAUUAUUAAAACUGUAAUAAACUAAGCUGAAUGAAAAAAAAAAAAACUGUUCAAAAGCAAAAUACUACAAAAAUAGACAGACAAAAUGUAAAAUCACAUUUAUUCUGUCUCAGCAUGUACAAAUUUCAAUAAACUCCUCAAAU